CUGGCGGCAUGCUUUACACAUGCAAGUCGAACGGGUAACAGGGCCUUCGGGGCGCUGACGAGUGGCGAACGGGUGAGUAAUGCAUCGGAACGUGCCCAGAGGUGGGGAUAACGCAGCGAAAGCUGUGCUAAUACCGCAUAUUAUCUGAGGAUGAAAGCGGGGGACUAAGCAGCAAUGUUUGGCCUCGCGCCUUUGGAGCGGCCGAUGUCAGAUUAGGUAGUUGGUGGGGUAAAGGCCUACCAAGCCGACGAUCUGUAGCUGGUCUGAGAGGACGACCAGCCACACUGGUACUGAGACACGGACCAGACUCCUACGGGAGGCAGCAGUGAGGAAUAUUGGACAAUGGGCGCAAGCCUGAUCCAGCCAUGCCGCGUGCAGGAAGACGGUCCUAUGGAUUGUAAACUGCUUUUAUACAGGAAGAAACACCUCUACGUGUAGAGACUUGACGGUACUGUAUGAAUAAGCAUCGGCUAACUCCGUG
rnacentral:rRNA from 1 species